CACGUAGGGCGCAAGCGUUGUCCGGAAUUAUUGGGCGUAAAGAGCUCGUAGGCGGUCUGUUGCGUCCGCUGUGAAAACUCGGGGCUUAACCCCGAGCCUGCAGUGGAUACGGGCAGACUAGAGGUAGGUAGGGGAGAAUGGAAUUCCCGGUGUAGCGGUGAAAUGCGCAGAUAUCGGGAGGAACACCGGUGGCGAAGGCGGUUCUCUGGGCCUUACCUGACGCUGAGGAGCGAAAGCGUGGGAGCGAACAGG
rnacentral:rRNA from 1 species